rnacentral:rRNA from 1 species
ACUAGGAUUCCCUCAGUAACUGCGAGUGAAGCGGGAUCGGCUCAAUGUGUGAAUCUGGCUUGGGGUACAUCCCGGGUCCGAGUUGUGCACUAUGGAUGCUUCGUCUGCGUUUGUAAAGGCGGUGGAAGUCCGUUGAAACACGGCACCUCARAGGGUCACAGUCCUGUACCACCUGCCUGCACUCGCGCCAAUGACAAGUGCUCCUCGAGUCGCGUAGUUUUGUAAUGCUGCGCCAAGUGGGAGGUAGAGACCUUCUAAGGCUAAAUAUGAUGACGUGACCGAUAGCACACAAGUACCGCGAGGGAAAGGUGAAAAGCAACCAUGAAAAAUGGGUUGAAACAGUAGUGAAAUCGCUACCGGGAUAAGGGCUAUCGGGUGCUGGGGCUCUUUGGGUGUGCUUUAGUGCUACCCUCGGAGACGGCCCGCGAGGGUUGAUGUUGGGGCGAUAGACGCGCUGCAGGAAUUCGGCUGCCUUUGGGCAGUGUUGUAGCCUGCGGUUGCUGAUCCUCCUGCGACCUUGUGUGAUUGCGGGUCUUGCGACCGUUAGCC